rnacentral:rRNA from 1 species
GACGAACGCUGGCGGCGUGCUUAACACAUGCAAGUCGAGCGGUAAGGCCCUUUCGGGGGUACACGAGCGGCGAACGGUGAGUAACACGUGGGUGACCUGCCCUCGAGCUCUGGGAUAAGCCUGGGAAACCGGGUCUAAUACCGGAUAUGACUCCGAUGACGCAUGUUGUGGGGUGGAAAGCCUUGUGCGGCUGAGGAUGGGCCCGCGGCCUAUCAGCUUGUUGUGGGGU